rnacentral:rRNA from 1 species
ACGGAGUGAUUCAUGACUGGGGUGAAGUCGUAACAAGGUAGCCCUAGGGGAACCUGGGGCUGGAUCACCUCCUUAAACGA